GCCGCCGUAUCUGCGUAAGCCAGAGUGCCCUGAGUAAACAUGACCCUGGCGCCUUCUUCCGCUUCCGGGGGCUGCUGCGGCUGUCUCGCCCUCAGCGGCAAUGGCGGCUCCCUGCGCGCUGUGGUUCGGGGACCAGGCGGAGCGGGUGGCCUGCCCCUACGACGCCCACCACCUUGUGCCGCCGUCGUCGCUGCAGAGGCACGCGGCGUCCUGCCGGCUCCGCAGGAUGGGCUACUCCAAGGAGGAGGAGGUGGGUGCCGCGCCGGGCCGCCGCCCGCCUGCGGGCGCUGCUUGCUGGCGGCUUGGAGAUGGUGUGUGUGCGAAGGAUGAAAUGUAUGACUCCAGCUUUUUCUAUGAGAAGCUGAAGAUACCCACUGUCACCAUGGAUAAAGAUCUACUGUUUCACAUUGUUCAGCAAGCUAGAGCUGAAAGUGCAAAAGAAGGUGUAGGCUACAGCCAAGGAUCUUACUCAUCAUUGCCUGUGGAAGUUCCUCAAAAUCACAAGCGUUUCACCUGUGACCUGACCCAAGCUGAUCGCCUUGCUCUUUAUGAUUAUGUUGUUGAUGAAACAAAGAAACAGAGGUCUCGGUCCCAAAUCACAGAAAAUGACAGUGAUCUCUUUGUGGAUUUAGCAGCAAAGAUCACUCAAGAUGAUAGUCAAAAAGGUCCAAAGUCACAUCUUGAGAUUCUGGCUGAAAUGCGAGACUACAAAAGGCGACGACAGUCAUACAGGGCUAAGAAUGUUCAUAUAACAAAGAAGUCUUACACUGAGGUGAUUCGGGAUGUGAUUGGUGUGCAUAUGGAAGAACUCAGCAAUCACUGGCAGGAGGAGAAUAGGUUGGAUAAUGCAGAAAUAUGUGAAGGCGGGAAGUCAAAAUCUUCGGGAAGAAGGGAAGACAGGCGGUCAGCUUCUGUGGAUUCACGGCAGUCUGGUGGAAGCUGUAAGGAUACUGAUCGCACAAGACAUAGGAGAGAGACCAGCAGGAGUCCAAGCAAACGAAAAAAGAGUCGUGAAAGAGGCAAAGACAGAGAUUCUCGGAGAAAAAGAGAAAGGGAAGAAGACAAGCAUCACAGCCAUAAAAGAAGAAAGUAGAAGCAAGAACAUGACAGUGGUGUUUGUCAGCUGUUUAAAAAAACUACUUCCACAGGAAGUGUUAUUACUACUGUGUGUGUGCCAAGGACACACAAUACUGGGAUUGCCUAACAAACAGCUGCGCUUGGAUACAAAAUGAAAGUCUCAGGUCUUGCCAGGAUGCAAGGUGUAGAUAUCAGCAAGUGUGCAAUACUAAUGCAUCUAAAUAAUGUUAGCUAGCUGUCUCUUGUCCAUUUGAGUGUAGGCUGACAGCAGAAACUGAGAGAAACUGUAUUACUUUGCUUUCCUGGCCUAUAAAUAACAUAUCCAAAAGGUGGAUCUGAAGCAGGGCAGUACACAUGUUCACAGACUAGGCUCAAUUACAAUUAAAAAGCAUGGAAACAACUCCCCUCCCACCUGACCUUUGUCACCUCUGGGAAUAGUGUUUCAGAAGGACUGAAAGCAGAGCUGUUUAUGGCAUAUGCCAGAGGGUAUAAUGCAGAUUUCACAGUUCUCUAGCAACCUAAGUAUCUUCAACUGCAGUUGUUGCUUUUAGUAGUUGAAAAAUGACAAAAAGACAAUUGGGGAAAGUAAUUACUUCUAUGCUCAUGUCUAAAGAAACUUAAGACCAAUGUAAUGUGGCAAAGAUUUUAUAAGCUAACUGCUCAUCAUAAAGCUCUCCAAAGAAACUAGCUGGAAGGUACCAGGUUGGCUUUUUAAACACUGGGAACAUAUCAAUUUCCUUCCAGAAGUAACUAGGAAAAGCUUCCUGCAGACUAACAUCUAAGUAUUAGAUGUUUAGAACAGUUAAGAUCUAGAAGACAUACCUUUCCUCAUCAGAAAACAAGACAUACUAUUUUGAAAUUAGUCAUUAAUUAGAAAGUCCAUCUAAGAAUGUAAAAAGAUACCUUUUAUGUUCUCAGAGGGUCCUAAUGAUAAGGAAAAAUAGGUGAUAGAGAUGCAGUCCUUCAUAUAGUUGUUUUUUUCAUCACCUCAGCCACAGGGUUCAUGUUGAGUAGUGCUUGAUAAAACUGCUUGUUUUAUAGAGCUUAUUCAUGUAGACUCAGUGGUCAAAAGACACACUGUAUUUGUGCAAGAGUCAAAAGUCAGAGCUAUGCAGAAGCAUAAUGAGAAAUGCACUCAGUGUAACAGUCCAGACUUUUCUAAGUAAAAUUUAUUUUAUUUUCCUAAAAUUAAAAUAUAGUUAGAAAGAUCCCUAGUAAAAUACAUUCUACUCAUGAAAGCUCCCAAAGUGUGGACAGAUUGGAGAACUGUAUAACCAUGCAUUCAACUAACAUCCAGUAAAACAAUUUCAGGAGUAGGAUCAAGGAAGAAAAGAGAGUGCCAGAGAAGAGGAUGAUUUCCUUUUGUCAUUUGAAUAUGUAUCUGAAUAAAGGAGGCAUAGGCCCAAAUGCAUACCAAAUGCAACUGCAUUACAGGAAAGAUCUUACUAAAUGUUACAUGAGUGGGAAAAAAAAUUCCUGAGACACUAAAGUGGUAACUUUGAUGGAAUUGUUGAGAUGAUUUCUCUUCCUGAGCAGCUUCAGUCCUGUCUUGCUGAACAGUCUACCUCAGUAAUAGAAUAUCCUGCAGUGACAAUUUUGGCAAAAUUAAUUACACAAUAUAUAAAGAUAUAAGUACUUCCUUUAAA